rnacentral:rRNA from 1 species
UACGUAGGGGGCAAGCGUUGUCCGGAAUUCAUUGGGCGUAAAGCGCGUGUAGGCGGCCAGAAAAGUCCGCUGUGAAAACUCGAGGCUCAACUUCGAGCUGUCGGUGGAAACUUUCUGGCUAGAGUCCGGAAGAGGAGAAUGGAAUUCCUGGUGUAGCGGUGAAAUGCGCAGAUAUCAGGAAGAACACCCGGUGGCGAAGGCGGUUCUCUGGGACGGUACUGACGCUGGAGACGCGAAAAGCGUGGGGGAGC